rnacentral:rRNA from 1 species
GACGAACGCUGGCGGCGUGCCUAAUACAUGCAGGUAGAACGCACAGUUUAUACCGUAGCUUGCUACACCAUAGACUGUGAGUUGCGAACGGGUGAGUAACGCGUAGGUAACCUGCCUGGUAGCGGGGGAUAACUAUUGGAAACGAUAGCUAAUACCGCAUAAUAUUAAUUAUUGCAUGAUAAUUAAUUGGAAGGUGCAAUUGCACCACUACCAGAUGGACCUGCGUUGUAUUAGCUAGUAGGUGAGGUAACGGCUCACCUAGGCGACGAUACAUAGCCGACCUGAGAGGGUGAUCGGCCACACUGGGACUGAGACACGGCCCAGACUCCUACGGGAGGCAGCAGUAGGGAAUCUUCGGCAAUGGACGAAAGUCUGACCGAGCAACGCCGCGUGAGUGAAGAAGGUUUUCGGAUCGUAAAGCUCUGUUGUAAGAGAAGAACGGGUGUGAGAGUGGAAAGUUCACACUGUGACGGUAGCUUACCAGAAAGGGACGGCUAACUACGUG